rnacentral:rRNA from 1 species
AGCAUGCCGCGGAAGAUGACGUCCCUAUGAGUGUAACUCUUUGUACGAGAAAAAAACCACGUCGCGUAUCGAUGCUGAUGGUACCGUAAGAAUAAGCAUCGGCUAACUUCGUGCCAGCAGCCGCGUAAUACGGGGGAUGCAAGCGUUAUCCGGAUUUAUUGGGUUUAAGGGUGCGUAGGCGGUUUGAUAAGUCAGCGGUGAAAUAUUUCAGCUUAACUGAAAGGGUGCCGUUGAUACUGUCAGGCUUGUAAUAUGCGGGUAUGACUGUGGGUGGAAUCGAUGUGGUGUAGCGGUGAAAUGCUUAGAGUAUCACACAGAAUAUCUGAUUGCGAUAGGCAUCGACUUCACAAAGCCGAUUGAUUGACGCUGAUGCGACUGAGAUAGCUGUGGGGAUCGAACAGGAUUAGAUACCCUGGUAGUGCCACACUGUAAUACGAUGAUAACUCGCUGUCGGCGAUACGACAGUCUGGUAGCCAUAGCUGAAUGACGUAAUAACCCUUACUCACACCUUACGGUGGCAGUACGACCGCUAGAGGUUGAAACUCAAAGGAAUUGACGGGAUGGCACCUAACGCACAAGCGGAGGAACAUGCUGGUUUAAUUCGCACUGAUACGCGAGGACACCUUACGCACGGGCUGACGACACGGUGCAGGACUACGAUCAGAGACUGAUGUAGCUAGCUACAUCAGUCUGUGAUCGUAGGUGCUGCAUGGUUGUCGUCAGCUCGUGCCGUGAGGUGCCUCGCGCUAUAAGUCGCCAUUAACGAGCAUGUCAACCGCUUGUGCGUUAGUUGCCAUCAGGUCAAUGCCUGGAGUUUCAACUCUUACGCGACGUACUGCCACCGUAAGGUGUGAGGAUAGGGGGGGACUGAUCGUCAAAUCAGCACGGCCCUUACCGUCCGGGUAUCGCCGACAGCGUGUUAUCAAUGGUAGGUACAGAGUGGCAGCUACCCAGGUAUCUAAUGGGGUGCGAAUCUCAAAAGC